AUUGCCUAGUCCAAGUUUACAGAGAUUUACUCCUAUGUUUUCUUCUAAGAGUUUUGUAGUUUUAGUUCUUACUACUUAUAGUAAGAACUAUAAUCUUAGGUCUACAUUCCAUUUUGAUUUUUUGUACAUAGUAUGAGGUAAUAAGCACUUUUUUCUAUGAAAAUUUAUGGUAGCUAAGUUGGCAGAUAACACUUUGACUAAACUGAUAUAUAUUGGAAAAAUAGAGUCAAUUACUUGAAAUUAUGUUAAUCUAUUAAUCUGAUUGUGAAGAAAUAUUAGAAUUUUGGCUUCAAAUUUAAGACAUUCUAGCCUUGUCUUUUCUAACUUUGAUUUUCUUAAAGCUAAUAACAGUAAAAUAUUCUAUUAUUCUUUGAUUCAUAUUUAUUAAGCCGUUAUAUUAGGAAUGGGAAAUAAUUUUCUAAGGGAAUUUUGCUAACUCAUAGGAAAAAAGAAAAGAAUUCAAGAGCCAGAGGAGUAAAACAUAGCUUUAAUUAUUAUUUUAAAGAAAGUAAUAAGAUUAAAAAAAAAGUCCAUGAAUCUGGUUCUUACAUUAGGAACAGGAAACUGAAAUCAUUAUUUAAGCACUUAAGUAUUAAAUAUUUAAGUGCACUGUGGUUCUACACCUUGGCCAACUGCUGAGGAAGAGGAAAAAUAUAGAAGGGCGUAGGAGGGAAGGAUGAGGGAAAAUAUAAAGAUAGGCGAGAGAUGAAUAGUUAGGAAAGCCACACCCAAAUGGCUAGUAUGGCCUGGCAUUUCAUACGGGGUGUGAGCAAUAGGGAGUGGGAGACUGUGGCAGAGCAGAGAAGACCCAUCUGGACGUAUGGCACUUAAUUACAAACAUGUAAAUGUUCCUGUGCAAAAAUUCCUACAUAUCAAGUAGACAGAAUAAAAGAGGAAAGAAAGAGACAGGAAUAAACAUAGGAAUUAUUCACAGUGAUGAAGGGAAAAUCAGGUUUCAUGAAGUAAUAAGCAUUUUGGGAGACUGGAUUUAAGUCAUUUUUAAAGGAGGAGUGGACUCCCUUUAUACAAUCAAAAGCACAAUGAAAGAUACCCUAUCUUGGUACUAUCACCCUGGGUAGGGUGACAUUAGGUUAAGAGCCUGAUUCAGCUUUGCAACCAUAUCUUUUAUCCUGAGAGGGUCUCUCUCCUGCAUCUCAGCUAGACAACAGUGCAGAAGAUAGAAUUUCUUCUAGUGAGUUCAUAGGCAUCCUUGUAGUAUGUUGUUUUGCUUAUUUCAUAUAUUUCAUGCAGCCUUAGCACACCAGGCACUUAUUAGGAUCAUAUAUAAAUGACUGCUUUGUUUUUCUUUCAAGGAGCUCACAGCCAAAAUACAGGUCAGUAAGCAAAAGUUUCUGGGUCUUCAACACAGCAUUAAACAUGUAAUAAUACUAUUGCAAAUGCUAAUUCAGACUGUAAACUUACUAGAAUUCAGUUGUACUGAAUUGACAUGAGCUACAGGCUCUUCAACUUGAUAAAGGGGUUUGAAAUGAUUAAAAUAAAAUGUUGAUAAAUAUCCACAAAGUGAGACUCUAUCGGUGUGUGACAAGUUUUUAAUUUAAGAACAUUACAUUCUAUUGUAUCAAGUCCUUCAAUAAUAUUAAUUUUCAAGAACAUUAAAUUCUGUCUAGUGUACUGAAGCUGGUAAUUAUAAUGCAUAAAAAUAGCUGAAUACUAGGGUAGUGCCAAUUACUCUGUCACUCAUGAGUAAUCAACUAUUUUUGUGCAGCACGAUAUAUAUGAUGCCUGCCCACAGAGUGAUAAUGUACAGCACAUAAAUGAAAAAUAAUUUUUCAAAAGCAUGGUGAGGCACGCCUGAAAGCUUUAACAAAUUUACUUGAGAGCUAAGUUAUGUCUCUUUGAGGAGUGCUAAAUCAAAUGGUUUGAAGAGAUUUUGGUCCUGGACUGGCCUGUGUGUCCGCAUCCCAGGAAUGCUGGAUGCACAGCUUCUGUGUGGUUAAGAUGACCUGUGACAAUUGGCAGACCAAAUGUAGGACACUGAUGUGUAGGCUAUGUGAUGAGUGGAGCCUAUGGAUGGGUGAAUUACAGCAGAGAUAAUGCUGUCUGCAUCAGGGAUAGGCAUUGCACCUGUAGGAUUUCCCUGUAAUUUCUCAGCAGCCACUCUAUGAAGAUAGGAGAGUCUUCUCUGAGGCUGAUCACCCCUGGCACUUCUUCUUCAGCUGUGUUCUGCCAUGCUCACCACACCCCCUGCUUUUUGGAAGCCCUCAGCCAUGAGCCUCUCAGAUGCCUCGAGUAUAGCUCCCUUCCUCAGUUAUGGGCUCUUUCAAGAAAGGGAGCUCAGGAGGAAGCUGAUAAAAUUCAGAAACAGCAAGAAGACCGCUUUAUAGGGUUGUUAGAAUUAAAUAGGAUGUUUAUAGAGCAUUUACUAUGUGCCAGGACCGGUUUAAUAGACACUAAAUUAUUAUUUUUACUAUUAAUUGUUAUCAAUGAUAAUAAUACAUGGUACCUAACUGCUUGUUUAGUGCUCUAACAAUCCAUUUCUUCUUUAUAGAAAACUAAGUAGUCACAAAGGAGGUAAUAGUCAGAUACUCCUCUCUGUUACUGCAGUGUUUCAUUUUAUUUAGGUUUAUGUAUAAUUUCCAUUAAAAUCUAUCAAAUUGAAGUAUAUUAAGAAAAAAAGUUUGGACCUAGGGGUGCUCCAGAAGAUGCUAGGUACAAUAUUAUACAAAGCAAAUUAUUGGAUUCAGUGGGUGAUGUUUACCAAGCAUUCACUGAGGAGCUCUCUAAAUGAAUGAAUCUGGUUCUUCCCUCAGAGAGUGUGUGUUAUAGCACAGGAGAUGGGAAGGAAUGCAUGCCAGACACAAAAGAUUUAUUGCAAAUGCAAGAAGAGGUCUAGGACAAGGUACGUAAAAUAACUGGAUGCCUAAAUGUUGGAAUAAUCAGUACUAGAUGAAGUCAGAGAAAAAUUCACAGGGGCUGAGCUAUAAGCAACUUAAAAGAGCAGAAGGUCUUGGUAGGAAGGAACUGAAGGAGGUGAGAUGUGAGGGAAUUGGCAGCAUGAGGACUGGAAGAGGGCUUAAGUCAACCUUCUGUAAAUGUGAGUGCGAGUGCAUUUGUGCAUGUAGGUGCAUUGGGAUAAGAGAUAGUGAGAGAGGCAUUAGGUAACAAAAACCAAGAGAGGAGAGUAUGAGCUAGGGAGUCAUUGGGAAGAAAGGAUCCUAGCCAUUUUUAUUGCAUACUAAGUACUGUGCUACAUGACGAGGAUACACUGUGAAUGAGCCGCGCCAGCUUCUGCCUUCAUGGAGCUUACAAUGUAGAGAGGGAUACAGAAAAGACUGAAGGCACAGAGAUCAGCUGAGAGUCACCUGCAACAGUCUGGGGGAGAAAUAUGGUGGCUUGAACUGGAUAGUGUCAGAGAGUGCUUUAGGUUCGUAAUAGAUAAGCCCAGAAUUCUCAGUGGCUUGACACAACAAAAAAUUUGUUUCAUGCUGUGCCACAGCCCAAUAUGGGUAUUCCUUGUAGACAGGCUUCCAAGUGCUCCUUCAGAGACUGAAGCUUCCUGUAUCUCAUGGCCCUAUCAUCCUCUAAGACCUAUGAGCCCACUCCAUUCAGGUGGUGGGUGAGGAAAGAGCCUUGGGAAUGAACGUCUGCUUCAUAAAUGCUAAGGAGUACCAGUACCAUCAACUUACAUUCCAGGGGCAAAGACUAAUCAUAUGCCCUCUUCCCCACUCCAGAUACUAUGGCUUAGAAAAUAUAGUUUCUGCCUGCACAGCUCUUUCCUUGACAAUUCCACACUACAGAAGAGAAGCACAAAUCCUGAGUGGUCCGACAGUGGCCUCUGCUACACAGUUGGAUCAGUGAGACGUGAAUGAAAUAAAGAGUAACCCAGGAGCUGGAAUCAACAGGCAAAUUAAUUAAGCUUCUGUGACUGACUGGACAUGAUAUCUGAGCGACAGGACAUCAAAACUUCAGCUCAGCAGAGGGAAGAGGAAGGAGGAAAAAAGAAGCCCAAGGCAGUGAAUUGGAGAAGCCAAUCAGCCCCUUUCUCAUUGUAGGCUUUCAGCCUGAAGCAGAAGCAAGCUGAGAGGGGAGGAGAUUUACUGCUAAGUCAAGCCCAGAGUUAUAAUUAUUAUACUGAAUUGAACAUUUUAGUUUCUGAAUCAGUCUGUUUUUCAUCCAGGCACAGGGAAACAUUACUACUGCUAAAUAAAGCCUAAUGGAACAGUGGGAGGCAAAAAUAAAGUUGUGUUUUGAUUACAUUAUGAUAUAUAUGAGCUUGAGUAACAACGCAAUUUCACAUGCAGUGCUAGCUUUGUAGGAAAGGAAGGAAAUGUCCAAUGGUGCAAAAAAAAGAAUAGUUUGUUGAAAUUUGAGUAGGAGAUGCAGUGAGCAGUAAGCAAAUGCAGUCAGGAGACUAAGCUUUGUGCCCAAUGCAAGGCGAGUGAACGGAACCUGAGACUCCUAUGUUAGUUCAGACCCUGGAAGGAGGACAAGCUCGUUCCAGGUCUAGCAUUCCCUGGCCCCCUGCAGAAGCAAGGGAACACCUGCUCUGGAGGAAGGCAACCUCAAUUGGCCCUCAGGAUUCCCAUAGUAGAUUAAGAUCUACCAGAUACAAAUUCACAAAGAUCACCAAAGUGACAGAAGAAAAAGUCUCUGUCUCACCAUGAGCACACUUGGCAGAAACAGUAAACAAAGGAUUUGGAGCCCUAAUGAAUUCAGAUUUUGGAAUUAUCAGAUGUAGAAUAUCAAAUGAUUAUGUAUGAAAUGUUUAAAGAAAUAACCUCGUAUCUCCCAGAAAUGAGAAAGCAAUAAGGAACUGUCCAAAAUAAGGAGGAAGAUUUGAAAAGAAAGCAAACAAAUUUCAAAAUGGAAAAAUAUAAUUGUUGAAAUUUUAACAAUUAAUGAGUUUGUUAAACAUCAGAUUAAACAAUUGAGAGAAUUAUUGAUGGUGGAUUGAAAGGAAUUACCUAGAAUGUAG